AGUGAACGCUAGCGGCGCGCCUAACACAUGCAAGUCGAGUGGGUUUAGACCCACGGCAAACGGCUGCGUAACACGUUGGAACCUUCCCCGAACUCAGGGAUAACCCUCCGAAAGGAGGAGUAAUACCGGAUGCCCUCGCAAGAGGAAAGUAUUUUUCGGUUCGGGAGGGGCCUGCGGCCUAUCAGUUAGUUGGUGAGGUAACGGCUCACCAAGACGAUGACGGGUAGCUGGUCUGAGAGGACGACCAGCCAGAAUGGAACUGCGACACGGUCCAUACUCCUACGGGAGGCAGCAGUGAGGAAUCUUCCGCAAUGGAC
rnacentral:rRNA from 1 species